rnacentral:rRNA from 1 species
UACGAAGGGGGCUAGCGUUGUUCGGAAUUACUGGGCGUAAAGCGCACGUAGGCGGAUAUUUAAGUCAGGGGUGAAAUCCCGGGGCUCAACCCCGGAACUGCCUUUGAUACUGGGUAUCUCGAGUCCGAGAGAGGUGAGUGGAAUUCCGAGUGUAGAGGUGAAAUUCGUAGAUAUUCGGAAGGAACACCGAGUGGCGAAGGCGGCUCACUGGCUCGGUACUGACGCUGAGGUGCGAAAGCGUGGGAGCAAACAGG